CGCAUCUAAAGGAUUAUUUGUAAAAAAGUAAUCAUAGAAACAACUCUCAACAAUGGAUCUCUUGGCUCUCGCAUCGAUGAAGAACGCAGCGAAAUGCGAUACGUAAUGUGAAUUGCAGAAUUCCGUGAAUCAUCGAAUCUUUGAACGCACCUUGCGCCUCUUGGUAUUCCGAGGGGCAUGCCUGUUUGAGUGUCAUUGAAACCCUCAAGAAGAAAGUCUUUCGGGGCCUUCUUUUUGGAACUGGAGUGUGCUGGCCUUUUCGUGGAAGAGCCCAGCUCCUCUGAAAUGCAUUGGCGAUGUGACAUCCUCAUGCCAUCACGCUUCUCUAGCAUUGAUAGUCUCUUUCAUGCUUUAGUGU
rnacentral:rRNA from 1 species